rnacentral:rRNA from 1 species
GGGCCCGCACAAGCGGAGGAACAUGUGGUUUAAUUCGAUGAUACGCGAGGAACCUUACCCGGGAUUGAAAUGUACCUGAAUACGUAUGAAAGUAUGUAGCUGUUAAAAGCAGGUAUGUAGGUGCUGCAUGGUUGUCGUCAGCUCGUGCCGUGAGGUGUCGGCUUAAGUGCCAUAACGAGCGCAACCCUGAUUGUCAGUUGCUAGCAAGUAAUGUUGAGGACUCUGACGAGACUGCCGGCGUAAGCUGUGAGGAAGGUUGGGAUGACGUCAAAUCAGCACGGCCCUUACAUCCGGGGCGACACACGUGUUACAAUGGUGGGGACAAAGGGCAGGGCUACCUGGCGACAGGAUGCUAAUCUCCAAACCCCAUCUCAGUUCGGAUCGGAGUCUGCAACUCGACUCCGUGAAGCUGGAUUCGCUAGUAAUCGCGCAUCAGCCAUGGCG